rnacentral:rRNA from 1 species
GGACGAACGCUGGCGGCGUGCUUAACACAUGCAAGUCGAGCGGUAAGGCCCUUUCGGGGUACACGAGCGGCGAACGGGUGAGUAACACGUGGGUGGACCUGCCCCUUAGCUCUGGGAUAAGGACCUGGGAAACUGGGUCUAAUACCGGAUAUGUACUCCAUGACGCAUGUUGUGGGGUGGAAAGCCUUGUGCGGCUAGGGAUGGGCCCGCGGCCUAUCAGCUUGUUGGUGGGGUGAUGGCCUACCAAGGCGACGACGGGUAGCCGGCCUGAGAGGCGACCGGCCACACUGGGGACUGAGACACGGCCCAGACUCCUACGGGAGGCAGCAGGUGGGGAAUCUUGCGCAAUGGGCAAAGCCUGACGCAGCGACGCCGCGUGGGGAUGACGGCCUCGGUUG